GGGGCACAAAACAUGAGUCCGCAGCACUUAAGAAUGCUGUGCGCUCCGGACCCAACACAAAUUAAUUAAGAAACAAUUGCAAUAAAAAAUGCCCCCCACCUUACCCGUCACUUGGUAUGAUCUGGUCCUGUGUUGCCUGCGUCGCAGCGUCACUACGCAUGACGCUGCACCAGCCCGUCCCUGCCGCCGCCAACCCCGAGGAGCUGUGCAGCGGUACAGCACUGCCAGUCACACUGACAGCCUGUCUCAGACAGCAGACAGCCGUAGCCUCACCACUGUGCUGUCCCUUCGUCUCUGGGGCCCGAGUCCAACACUUCCUCUGCACCUAAUUGCUGAUCCCCAGCCAGGGGUGUUUUAGUCUGGACCUCUGCUCUCUUUGCCUGGACGGCUGGUGGUGCCUUCAGGGCAGGCUGCAUGGACAGACACCGCUGGAUGACGUGACCUGAUGACACCACUGGAAGUCCGACGGGGUUGUCAGCCGGCAUGUCUCAGUGAAUGUCUGAUGGCGGGAGAUCCCAGCUGCACUGUAUCAGAGCCUCUACAAGAUUACACCUGCUGCAGGAUAUUUAAUUAACAGAAGGAAGGGGACGGAUAGCUGAAACUCAUUUCAAGCAGCUGUUGAAUUAAAUCCGUUUAGGGCCAUACUUGUCCCAAACAGUUAUUCAUUCACUUACAGUAGGUACAGUCAUGGGCGGACCAAGAACAAAAUGACACAGAGGCAUCAUGACAGGGGAUCUCAGUGCAUCCAGGAGACAGGUCCCGGUGGUUUUUCUCAUGUUCCUGGCCAGUAUUAAGCCAGGUAUAGGAGCAGUUACUUAUUGA